CACUGUGGGCUUGGCGGCGUUGGUGGAGGUGCUUUGUAGUCACCUUGCGCCGCUGUCAGUUGUAUUAUUCCCACCUGUGUUCUGACAGUCAGUAAGCAGCAAGCUACAAUGUGUAGUUCUCCUAGACACUGCUGGAGCCUCGAGUGUGUUGCGUCUGUUCAGUGUGCGGUGCCGUCCGUUUCUUGUGUACAUCGCAGCCUUUUCAAAUGUCUGGACGAGUGCUCCCCUGGCCGCCAAUUACGGUCGUCUCUUCCACGGCUGCCUGGCACAUUCCUAGCAAGGGCGGUGGCGUCAGCACGGGACAGACACCCUUCGAACAUCAAUCUUGCAACGGGACACAUUGACCAGCUGAACCCGCGAGUGUGGUACUGAAGACUGUCGCAAGAGGAAAACAGAAUUCUAACCUUUGUAGGAAAAAUGGGCAUACAUUAACCACCACACUAAUAAUAUUGCACCAAAACGGCAAACACCAUUUACGAGACUAUACAGACACAAAUUCACCAACUUUAUUAAGUGUCAGUGGUCAUUAGGCAGUGGCAAAAACUGGCUCAUAAUGUUCAUUGAUAUAUUGAGACGCUCUGUGUGUGUGUGUGUGUG